GAUGAACGCUGGCGGCGUGCCUAAUACAUGCAAGUCGAGCGAUCAGACGAGAACCUUGCUCCUCUGACGUUAGCGGCGGACGGGUGAGUAACACGUGGGUAACCUACCUAUAAGACUGGGAUAACUUCGGGAAACCGGAGCUAAUACCGGAUAAUAUAUUUAACGGCAUGGUUGUAUAGUGAAAGACGGUUUUGCUGUCACUUAUAGAUGUAUCCGCGUCGCAUUAGCUAGUUGGUAAGCUAACGGCUUACCAAGGGAACGAUGGGUAGGCGACCUGGGAGGGUGAUCGGCCACCCUGGAGCGGAGACACGGUCCAGGCUCCUACGGGAGGCAGCAGUAGGGAAUCGUCCGCAAAGGGCGAAAGUCUGACGGAGCAACGCCGCGUGAGUGAUGAAGGUCUUCGGAGCGGAAAACUCUGUUAUUAGUGAAGAACAAAUGUGUAAGUAACUAUGCACUUCUUGACGGUACCUAAUCAGAAAGCCACGGCUAACUACGUG
rnacentral:rRNA from 1 species